GACGAACGCUGGCGGCGUGCUUAACACAUGCAAGUCGAACGGAAAGGCCCUGCUUUUGUGGGGUGCUCGAGUGGCGAACGGGUGAGUAACACGUGAGUAACCUGCCCUUGACUUUGGGAUAACUUCAGGAAACUGGGGCUAAUACCGGAUAGGAGCUCCUGCUGCAUGUUGGGGGUUGGAAAGUUUCGGCGGUUGGGGAUGGACUCGCGGCUUAUCAGCUUGUUGGUGGGGUAGUGGCUUACCAAGGCUUUGACGGGAAGCCGGCCUGAGAGGGUGACCGGCCACAUUGGGACUGAGAUACGGCCCAGACUCCUACGGGAGGCAGCAGUGGGGAAUAUUGCACAAUGGGCGGAAGCCUGAUGCAGCAACGCCGCGUGCGGGAUGACGGCCUUCGGGUUGUAAACCGCUUUCGCCUGUGACGAAGCGUGAGUGACGGUAAUGGGUAAAGAAGCACCGGCUAACUACGUG
rnacentral:rRNA from 1 species